CGGCCAGGGCUGUACCCUCCUCCUCCUCCUCCUCGCCUGCGUGUGGGCUCAUGCGUCGCGGCGCUUUUGCGUGCAGGCAGCGCCGGCGUCGUCCAGCUCACAUGUGCAUACUCAUACACGCACACACGUAAAUCAAACGAAAAGGCAGGCAUACCCACCGGAUCGCAUUACUUACACGCACACACAGUUGCACGGCCAGGAACGCCUAGCAAGCGCAUUUUAUCUGACGGAAUCAGAUCAUCGAGUUCAUGACGAAUGGAAGAGGGCGCGCCCGCUAAUGCGACAGCGUCACUACCGCCGUCCUAUGAGUCUGUCCUCGUUUUUCUUACAACGCUGGCGCAGUGGCUCAAGCAUGCGCGAGAGCGCCUGAAAUGCCGAGACGAAGUCGGCCGACACGCAAUUGCGGUGGAGGUCCUCACCCGCCACCGCGAACGCGCCUAUGAGCGGCUGGCAGAAUCUGUAUGGCGUCAUACAGCUGCUGCCGGUGACAUAAGCACAUCACUUUUUCCCUCUGCUUCAGUCGAGCUGGCCGCGUGGGUGCUGCUGCGGCUUCUCGUCCUCCUCCUUACCUGGUGGUUGCUGAUUCGGCUGGUGCGCGCGACCACCCUACCGCGACUGCGCGCUCGCCAAAUUGCGGUGCACCCUGACGUGCAUCUGUCAACGAGCGUCGGAAAUGCACAGGCGGUAGAGGCGUUUAUUCAUCCCGACGCUGCUCAGCGCGGCAUCAACGCCACGCUGCUGUUGACUGUCAGCGCUUGCGUGUCGGUGGCGUGCCUGCUCAUUCUCUGCCUGCUUACAAUGCAUGUAUGGGUGGACGUAGUGCUGUUGCGCCUGCUCCAACAUUGGACCGCCCCACUACGGCAGGCACAGGCGUGGGUGGCGUCGCAUUGGUUGUGGCCCUCCAACAGCCCGCAGCCGGGCUCACUGCGAGCGCCUGCCGCCCCUGUGGAGCAGUACGCAACUUCUUUCAUUAGUGUUGUUUCUGGACUAAAUUCCAGCUUGUUCAGCAAGCUCGCGUGGCUGCGUCGAGUGACACAGCAGGUGAAGCUGAUGUACCUGUGGGGCAUGGUCGGAGGGACCAUGUUGGGGGUGGCGCUCUGGCUACUUGGCUACUCCUCUAGGCUGCUGCGGACCUACAACACGAGUCUGCCGUACUUUGAAGAGAAUGACCCUCUACUGCGCUGGCUGGGCCAGCAGGAGGCGGCGGCCGCUCAGCAACGUACCAACGCGGCGUUUGCCGCUCUGCUUGAAAGCCAGCAUAGGCAAGAGCGGGUAAUGGAGAGGCUGGCAAGCUCAUUGGCGCCCGCGACUCCUCGACAGCGGCAGCGCUAUCUGCAAAUGACGGAAGAAGGAGUAGAAUCGCAUUGCUUCGUGGAUGAUGCUGCGCUAGCGGCAGCGACAAGCGACGCCACAGAAGACGGGCGGUGCAAUGGUGAGACAGCCGCAGGCGGAACUGACGCGGUGAUCAUCGGCAAAGGCUGCAGCGGCGGUGGCGAUCCAGGAAAGUUGCGUGUGGAAUCUGGUCCUUCACCCGAUAAAGCUUUGGCCGCUGCCUUCGAAGAAGCAGCGGCGGCAGCGUCGGCGACGCGAGAUGAAGGAGCCGCUGAGGCUAGCUGCGGCACAACACCGCAGGCGGAGGAGAAGGAGGGGGCAGCAACCACAGCUUCGCGGAUGGCAAAAGAAGGAGAGAGUCCUAGGAGCUAGAGGGGGAGUGAUUGCUUUCCGGUCAUGCGGGUGGGUGAAGUAAGGGAGGAGGUAUGCGUGCCCGUACCUGUAUGCAAUAAGUGGUGCCUUGUCCACCAACACCAGCGUCACCUGCUUCUUUCGAUUUCCAGCUGCAAAUCGAGUGAUGCUGCAUGGCGCCUUUCUUUGGUGUCUGCAGCGCGCACAUCUGAGGCUUGCCGCUUGUGUGUGUAUGCGUUGUUUGCCUUCAUUGACUCCGACUCCCACUUCAUUUGCCAUCGCCCUGAGUUGCCUCUGCUGGCAGGGAACAGAAGCGAGGGGCGGCCGUGCGAGACCGCUUACAGCAUCAGUGCUUGUGCAAGGCUGUAAGUUGUCCCUCUGCUAGUGCUGCAGUGAGCGUGUUUUCUCUGCCUUCAGGGAUGGUCAUCCGUGCAGCGAACUCCGCUCAUUCCCAAAGUCUCAGACGCAGCGGUGAACACACAAGGAAAAG
rnacentral:misc_RNA from 1 species